UUCAAUGGUCGGGCCUUGGCGGGGGUGCCUUCGGGCACGCCGGUUUCCUUUUGCGCCGGUUCGCCAACCCUGUCAUGUGCCCGGCCACCCCA
rnacentral:antisense_RNA from 19 species